rnacentral:lncRNA from 1 species
CCUGCGGGUGUGACAGAGCGGGGGUCUCGAGGGCGCAGACCGGUUUGUCCGCGAUGUGAGCUGGGGGGCCGGCCCAUAGCAGACCUGAGCCUCAGGUCCAUAAAAAGGGGGUGGUCGCCCUAAGAGAUGGUGGCUCUGCCGCAGCUAGGGGGCGAGAACCUGGCGGCGCCUCAGUUUCCCCAGAUGCACUCUGGGAGAGACUGAACCGAUUGCUCCCUGAAGGUCAACAGCUGGAGCUCUUUACUGAGUGCUGACUGCCCAGGCCAGGGCUGUGGCAGGGCGUCCUUUCGGCGGUGAGGCAGGCUGUGUGCCUCGCAGGCACAUGGUGACAUUCAGACAGCAGGCCACGUGAUGGACAGCAGUCGGGGGAAGGAGGGGGGCCCUGGAGUAGCGCAGAGCCAGGCCUGGGCACAGGAGGGCCAGUCACCUGGGGGCUGCCCCCACCCUCACAGCCUUUAUGGGUGGGCCGAUGGGAUCCCAGCUCUGCUCCCUGCCACUGUGGGGUCUUGAGCAAGAACUCUGAGCCUCUCCCAGGACUGGAGAGUGCCAAGAAGGGCCCCUUGGGGGCUGUCCCCCAGGACUCUGCCCCACCCCACCCAGAGACCCACAACUCCUCCCUGUCUGACUGGACUCCUUCUUGCUGCGGCUGGGUCCACUGUGGCUCCGAAGAGGUAGGAGCCCUGCCUCGUAGGGUGCUGGUAAGGAACGAGGGAAUGAUUCUGGGGAAAGCUGGAGUGAGAGUACCUGGCACGUGGUAAGGGGUACACCAACUUUUGCCCUCACUGUCACCUGCUGUCACAGAUGCCAAAGGACCAGGACAGCAUCCCUCACAUGGGAAAGCCUCAGGCAGUGGCAUCUUAAACACGAAAACAGAUCCAUGGUCCAGGGUAACACCUCAGCCGCAGAUGCCACCAUGAGGGGCUCUCCUCCUCAGUAAAAGCAGCAGUGUGUGGGAGAGAGUGUGUGUCACCACCCGGGAGUGUGAGUCCACAGUGCACAUCUGCGUGUGUUUGCACAGGAAACAUCAUGAAGACGAUGGGAAUGGGGACAGAUAGUAUCCUCUGCUUUGGGGAUGUGGGUUCCACACUUCCCCCUUCUUUCUGGCCCUUCUGUGGUUCUAAGGAUGAGGUGGUGUGGGGAGAGGGAGGUGGGGGUCCCAGUCCAGACCAUGUAGGACCCUGGGCAAGUGGGCUGUUCCUGUGGUGGCCCCCCUGCUGUCCCCACCCUUGGAGAGGCGGAGCCCCUGUCAGCCCUCCGUCCAGGACAGGGAGGACUCUGCCCCCGAUGUGCUGUGUGUCGGGAGGGAACUCCUGCACCUCUCUGGGCCUGACUCUGUGGAGUGAGGGAGGGGGAGGGCUGGCCCCCCAGGCCCUCUGUGACCUUGAGGAGGGCUCAGGAUGUCAGCGGAGGCCCCUGGUUAUGGGGCAUGUGGGUCCAGCCAGCUCCCUCCUCUCAGGGCCUGCCCUCUCU